rnacentral:rRNA from 1 species
AUUGAACGCUGGCGGCAGGCCUAACACAUGCAAGUCGAGCGGAUGAAGGGAGCUUGCUCCUGGAUUCAGCGGCGGACGGGUGAGUAAUGCCUAGGAAUCUGCCUGGUAGUGGGGGAUAACGUCCGGAAACGGGCGCUAAUACCGCAUACGUCCUGAGGGAGAAAGUGGGGGAUCUUCGGACCUCACGCUAUCAGAUGAGCCUAGGUCGGAUUAGCUAGUUGGUGGGGUAAAGGCCUACCAAGGCGACGAUCCGUAACUGGUCUGAGAGGAUGAUCAGCCACACUGGAACUGAGACACGGUCCAGACUCCUACGGGAGGCAGCGGUGGGGAAUAUUGGACAAUGGGCGAAAGCCUGAUCCAGCCAUGCCGCGUGUGUGAAGAAGGUCUUCGGAUUGUAAAGCACUUUAAGUUGGGAGGAAGGGCAGUAAGUUAAUACCUUGCUGUUUUGACGUUACCAACAGAAUAAGCACCGGCUAACUUCGUG